UAGUCGUAAACAAGGUAGCCGUAGGGGAACCUGCGGCUGGAUCACCUCCUUUCUAAGGAUCGACGAGAAAGCGUCACUGCUAGACGGUGAAAGAGCUUCUCUUCUUCCAAAGAACAUUGCCGCCGUCCUCAUGUCCCUUCAUCACUGGAAAACAGACCUUCGGGUCUGUGCGCCUGAGCUGGCUCCUGCCGCCCGCGGCCUUAUGGCCUGCUUGGGUUGCGGCAAAAGGGGGCCGGUAGCUCAGGUGGUUAGAGCGCACGCCUGAUAAGCGUGAGGUCGUAGGUUCAACUCCUACUCGGCCCACCAUUUGCUGCUUGGGCGUGGGGCCUUAGCUCAGCUGGGAGAGCGGUUGCUUUGCAAGCAUCAGGUCAUCGGUUCGAUCCCGAUAGGCUCCACCACUCCCGCGCUUGAUAUUUCCAGAGAUGAAGAAACGAUAUCCGGCCUUGGCCGGUCAGGCGCGAGACGCGCCGUCUUUGACAUUGUGAAUGGGUUCUAGAAAUCGAUGCCGUGGCGGCAUUGUUUCUAUGGUGCGGGGCUUUCGGGCCUCGAGCGAUAGAGGCGAUUGUCGUUCACAAAAUUGAUUGAUGCUGAGUGUAUUUCCGCUCAUCGAUAUCGGCCGUCAGGCUUGAUGUUGGUGGUGCGGU
rnacentral:misc_RNA from 1 species